rnacentral:rRNA from 1 species
UGCCAGACUCCUACGGGAGGCAGCAGUGGGGAAUAUUGCGCAAUGGGGGAAACCCUGACGCAGCAACGCCGCGUGAGUGAAGAAGUAUCUCGGUAUGUAAAGCUCUAUCAGCGGGGAAGAAGGAAGACGGUACCCGACUAAGAAGCCCCGGCUAACUACGUGCCAGCAGCCGCGGUAAUACGUAGGAGGCGAGCGUUAUCCGGAUUUACUGGGUGUAAAGGGAGCGUAGACGGCGUCGCAAGUCUGAAGUGAAAGCCCGUGGCUCAACCGCGGAACCGCUUUGGAAACUGCGAGGCUGGAGUGCUGGAGAGGUAAGCGGAAUUCCUGGUGUAGCGGUGAAAUGCGUAGAUAUCAGGAGGAACACCGGUGGCGAAGGCGGCUCUCUGGCCUGUAACUGACACUGAGGCUCGAAAGCGUGGGGAGCAAACAGGAUUAGAUACCCCCGUAUGC